rnacentral:rRNA from 1 species
CAGUCGCCACGGUAAUACGAAGGGUGCAAGCGUUAAUCGGAAUUACUGGGCGUAAAGCGUGCGUAGGCGGUUUGUUAAGUCUGUUGUGAAAUCCCCGGGCUCAACCUGGGAAUGGCAAUGGAUACUGGCAAGCUAGAGUGUGUCAGAGGAUGGUGGAAUUCCCGGUGUAGCGGUGAAAUGCGUAGAGAUCGGGAGGAACAUCAGUGGCGAAGGCGGCCAUCUGGGACAACACUGACGCUGAGGCACGAAAGCGUGGGGAGCAAACAGGAUUAGAUACCCCCGUAGUCCCUGUCUCUUAUAC